UCUAAAACUAAACCCUUUUCUUACGCUAUCUACAUGAACAUUUCUAAUCUCUGACGUUUCCUUUCAGUGUACUGAGGACUCACUGAUCUACACUACCAGCUCAUGCUCAACGUUACUGAACAACAAAGUAAUCCGACAAUCAGACUGGACCCGGUCAUGUUAGAUACCAGAGGAAGACGAAAAUAUAAUUGAUUCUGUACUGAUGCAUAACUUCGCUCGGAACGCGGCAAGAAUUAACAAUGGAAGAAAAUACUACAGACUUGUUUAUUAACGAUAAACUUAUUUUAGUUUUUAUGAAAUAGCGAUUGAAUAAAAAUAUUAGGUAUA
rnacentral:lncRNA from 1 species